ACAGAUAUGCUGGAAUGGAAGACAGAUUCGAUUUAGGUUCGAACGAGGUAAUUCUCAUACAAGUUCAAGUCUUGUUAUCUGUA
rfam:Cordyceps confragosa RCEF 1005 scaffold_114, whole genome shotgun sequence.